rnacentral:rRNA from 1 species
CCUGCGAAACCCGAAAGAUCGAACGGGGAGAUUCAUCGUCAGCGGUAUCCGGUGUCUGUGCGGUUCGCGAUGCCGGGGACCUCGGUCCCUCGGCACGCGUCCGUGCGGUACAUCACGACCGGGUAUCGUCGGCGUGCACUUCUCCCCAAGUAGGACGUCGCGACCCGUUGGGUGUCGGUCUACGGCCCGGGUGGGCGCCUGGCACGCGUCGCGCCUCACGGCGCGUUCGCGGGUCAGACCCCCGGUGUUGCCUGACCGGCUGCCCGGCGGUACUCGCACGGUAUCGAGCCGCAGGCUUCGAAACUGCGUUCGGCCCGCCGCAAGCUAGACCAGUGAUACCCGGAUGUACGGAUCUGAUGCCGUCGCCGGGCCUGGUCGGCUGUUGGUCGGCGGUGUUCUCGGACUGGCUCUGAAUACCGGUCGGCGACGCUACUGCUUUGGGUACUCUCAGGA